GCCGCGGGAUUUUCCGGUUGAUCCUGCCAGAGGUCACUGANNNGGGGNUCGAUUAAGCCAUGCGAGUCGAGAGGGUUCGGNNUCGGNGUACUGCUCAGUAACACGUGGAUAACCUGCCCUAGGGGAGGGGAUAACCCCGGGAAACUGGGGAUAAUACCCUAUAGGUUACAGAUGCUGGAAUGCCCUGUAACCAAAAGCUCCGGCGCCCUAGGAUGGAUCUGCGGCCGAUUAGGUUGUUGUUGGGGUAACGGCCCAACAAGCCCGUAAUCGGUACGGGUUGUGGGAGCAAGAGCCCGGAGUUGGAUUCUGAGACACGAAUCCAGGCCCUACGGGGCGCAGCAGGCGCGAAACCUUUACAAUGCGGGCAACCGUGAUAAGGGAACCUCGAGUGCCUGUAAACGCAGGCUGUUCAGGUGUUUAAAACGCACCUGGAGAAAGGGCCGGGCAAGACCGGUGCCAGCCGCCGCGGUAAUACCGGCGGCUCGAGUGGUGGCCGCUUUUAUUGGGCUUAAAGCGUUCGU
rnacentral:rRNA from 1 species